AGGGUUGUGCACAUCCACUUGCUAAGUAUAUCUACGAGCACUACCUAUAUAAUCUUGGAGUUUAUUUGAAAUAUGAUUCUCAAUUGGAGACAAUGGAGAUAAUUGUAAGUCAAGAGAAGACCCACCAUUGGAAAGAAGAUGAUAGCAAUCUUUUUGUUUUUAUUUGGGGACUAUUGGGUCAACCAAGGAUAAUUCUGUGGACAUAUGAUAUCUAUCAUAACCUAGAC
rnacentral:lncRNA from 1 species